UACGUAGGUGGCAAGCGUUGUCCGGAUUUACUGGGCGUAAAGAGCGCGCAGGCGGUCGUUCAAGUCGCGUGUGAAAGCCCCCGGCUCAACUGGGGAGGGUCACGCGAUACUGGUCGACUCGAAGGCAGGAGAGGGUAGUGGAAUUCCCGGUGUAGUGGUGAAAUUCGUAGAUAUUCGGAAGAACACCAGUGGCGAAGGCGGCUCACUGGCCCGGUACUGACGCUGAGGUGCGAAAGCGUGGGGAGCAAACAGG
rnacentral:rRNA from 1 species